rnacentral:rRNA from 1 species
GGACUACAAGGGUAUCUAAUCCUGUUUGCUCCCCUUGCUCUCGCGCCUCAGCGUCAGGUUUGAGCUAGAAAACCGCCUUCGCCACCGGUGUUCUUCCACAUAUCUACGCAUUUCACCGCUACACGUGGAAUUCCGUUUUCUCCGCCCAUCCUCAAGAUCUAUAGUUUCAAAUGCAGCUCCGAAGUUGAGCCUCGAAAUUUCACAUCUGACUUAUAGUCCCGCCUACGCGCCCUUUACGCCCAAUAAUUCCGAUUAAUGCUUGCACCCUCCGUAUUACCGCGGCUGCUGGCAC